rnacentral:rRNA from 1 species
CCUACGGGAGGCAGCAGUGAGGAAUAUUGGUCAAUGGGCGCGAGCCUGAACCAGCCAAGUAGCGUGAAGGAUGACUGCCCUACGGGUUGUAAACUUCUUUUAUAAAGGAAUAAAGCGAGGCACGUGUGCCUUUUUGAAUGUACUCUAUGAAAAAGAAUCGGCUAACUCCGUGCCAGCAGCCGCGGUAAUACGGAGGGUGCGAGCGUUAAUCGGAAUUACUGGGCGUAAAGCGCUCGUAGGCGGGAGGUCAAGUCAAGGGUCAAAUCUCCGGGGUCAACGUGGGAACUGCCGUUGAAACUGGCUAACUGGAGUGUGUGAGAGGAUAGUGGAA